AAUAUAUUGAAGAUUCUGAGCUUUUGGAACAGUACUUCAAGACAUCAUUCAGCGACCUAGCGUCAGACUCCGAAUUGUCUAAAAAUCUUGAAAAAGCCGAAAGGAACGACGUGGCCUGUACUUCGGAGGAGGGACAGGUUAUACAGGCGUAUACCCCCUUGGAGCCUCACAAUAAACCUCAAAAAUCUGCAAAAAGACCUCUCAAAAAACGGCCCACUAGACGUACACUUCUUGUGGAAAGUGAAUCUUCCGAGGACGACACCUCCUUCAGCAGAGACCCAAAGUCUAAAAGGCCGCGUAAAUUUUCCGAAAGGUUUCAUACUUCGCUACAAUCAAGAGGCACCCCCACCGUCUCCAAAGUAUCACAAAGGCUAAAACCGACGCGCCCCUCAACUUCAACUACUGUUAGGUAUCACAGCUCUGAGCUAUUGAAACAUGUACAUCUGACUAUAGAGCAGAUCAUUUACAGACACCCCGCUAUAAGGGCCCUCGUUUCUGACCCUGAAGUGUCUCAGAAUAUACUUACAUUAAUUACCCUAUUGAAAACGCUGGGUUUCUUAAAACAGUAACAGUGUAUUUGUAGAGCUACAAUGGAACCACAUCGCAAAAAAACAUGUAAAAGGAAACACAUUGAAAUUACUGUUGAUGAUUCUGACAAUGAUGAGGCUGUGAAUGGUGUUCGAAAAAAUAAAAAGGGUUCAAUUGAUCCGAGUCAAACUGUGUCAAAUUCUGUGUUUAAUUCUAGAAGCGUCCCCCGAAAUACCUUAAAUUCUGUUCCCUCAAUAGGUUCCCAUACACAUAGUAUGUCUCCAGACCCCUGUUGCAUACCACACACUGUUCACCCCCAAAAUUUAAACGGUUUUGAGAAUUUUGACUAUCUAGACAAACUACUAAAUGAUUUA